rnacentral:rRNA from 1 species
UGAGCAAUCUGCCCUUCUCUUUGGAAUAAGCGUUGGAAACGACGUCUAAUGCCGAAUACGACCUCCUUUCGCAUGAUCGGAGGUGGAAAGCUCCGGCGGAGAAGGAUGAGCUCGCGGCCUAUCAGCUAGUUGGUGUGGGUAAUGGCCCACAAGGCGACGACGGGUAGCCGGCCUGAGGAGGGUGACCCGGCCACACGUGGGACUGAGACACGGCCCAGACCUCCGUACGGGA